GGAUGAGCGUCAUGUACACAUAACAAAUAAGUUUCAAGGUAAGAGAGAACAAAAUGAUUAGAGCAGAGACAUCUUAGGUGGGGGCUCCCUGCUCCCAGAACUUAGACAUAUAUGGUCUUAAGUGUUGUUUAAGCAUCAAGCAUUUCCUGAGUCCAAGUUAGCCAAUUUUAAUAUAGAAUAUCAUUAUAUGACACCUAUAAGCUUGAGCCUUGGAAUCAAGAUAAAUUCUAUCACAAUCCCCUCUUUUGAUCCAAGAGUCACCCAAAUGUCCAAGGUAUAUCCAGGCCUGCUAGCCAAAGCCUGUGGGACUUUCAUUUAUUGCUUCACCACGGUUCCCUUGUACUGAGAGAC